AGGAGCCAAAGUCAUCUUCAUAGCGCACAAAGCAUUUAUGCAGCGACAGAUUUGUGCGUAUGGCAUUCUGGAAUAUAUUCAUUUAUAGAAUAUAAUAAAAUGAACAAUUCAAUUUUGCAAUAACAAAUUGGUGAUGAUGCCGCGGACGUUAUGUGUUUUAUUAGUAACCAUUAUUUGUUUGCAAAUAAUUCAAACAUUUGGUGAUGUAGAAAUAAAAAGAAAUAAGAAAUUUUCACGUUAGCCAUAAUGUUAAGUGUAUUCUCGUAAAGGUAACAGUUUAAUCAUAUACCAAGAUAUUUUGAAAUAUAUUAACUAUAAAUUAUGUGUAUGUGUUUAAUACGUAUUUAAACUAUUUAAUAUUAAGAAAAAAGUUUUAUUUUGACUAAGUAAAUAAAAACUAUAAACAGUAAUUUGAAAAGUAGAUGUAUUAAGAACUUGACGCACAAAUAUUUAUUUAAAUAUGCAAUUAAGUAAAUAAUUGUUUUUUUUAUUGUUGUAUAAUAAUAAUUUAAUAAAACGGAAGUUGCCAUUUUAUUGUUUAUUUCCAGUAGGGAAAGUAUCUAUAUGCGAAAUAGCAUGCUCAAAUUGUAAGCAAAUUUGAAAAAAGUUGAAUUACAUUUUUAACAAAUUUAUAAUAGGAUAAUAUUAGUAGUAUCGUAUGUUAUUAUAUACAUUUUAUUUCUGCAUAAAGUAAAGUUUGGCAAAAGGGCAUACAUAUAUGUAAUUAACACAUUUCAUUUCGUCUCGAGAAAAUGUAAAAUUAAAAAUGUAGAAAACAUAUUAAAAUAAAUAAAACACCGCAUGUCAAAAUAAAAGAAUAAA